CCAAAGGCUCUUUUCAGAGCCACCACACGGCCACUAAAGAGAGCUGU
rfam:Merops nubicus contig76945, whole genome shotgun sequence.